rnacentral:rRNA from 1 species
UACGAAGGGGGCUAGCGUUGUUCGGAUUUACUGGGCGUAAAGCGCACGUAGGCGGAUUGGUCAGUUAGGGGUGAAAUCCUGGAGCUCAACUCCAGAACUGCCUUUAAUACUGCCAGUCUCGAGUCCGGAAGAGGUAGUGGAACUCCUAGUGUAGAGGUGGAAUUCGUAGAUAUUAGGAAGAACACCAGUGGCGAAGGCGGCUUACUGGUCCGGUACUGACGCUGAGGUGCGAAGCGUGGGGAGCAAACAGG